UACGUAGGGGGCAAGCGUUGUCCGGAAUCAUUGGGCGUAAAGCGCGUGUAGGCGGUUCUGUAAGUCUGCUGUGAAAGUCCAGGGCUCAACCCUGGGAUGCCGGUGGAUACUGCAGGGCUAGAGUACGGAAGAGGCGAGUGGAAUUCCCGGUGUAGCGGUGAAAUGCGCAGAUAUCGGGAGGAACACCUAUUGCGAAGGCAGCUCGCUGGGACGUGACUGACGCUGAGACGCGAAAGCGUGGGGAGCAAACAGG
rnacentral:rRNA from 1 species